AUUCUAAAGCAGUCCAGGUUCUGAGAUGCCAGGGGCUCCUCUAGUGGGUACUCUCUUUCCCUUGAGGACUCCCAUCAGCCUUGCCCAGACUAUCUUAUAACUGCAUUACAGUCUAAGGCUCAUUCUAUUCCAGUUUCCUUCCUUCCUUCCUUCCUUCCUUCCUUCCUUCCUUCCUUCCUUCCUUCCUUCCUUCCUUCCUUCCCUCCUUCCUUCCCUUUCUCCUCCACAAGAGUCAACUCUGCCCCUCCACGUGAUGACUUUCCUGGACUUUUUCAACACUCUUCCAUUAGCCUCUCACAGGUGUUCUCCCUCAAUAAAUCCCUUGUAUAUUUAAUCCCACCUGCAAUGUCACUGGGCUUUUGAAAACCAAGUGAGAAGACAAGUGUCUGUUGAUAGAAACCCUUCAGUAAAUGUUAACAUGUGAAAGCAAUUUGUCCAUUGAAAAGGCUAAAAAGAAAUGACAGCCCAUAAUCGACGGGUACAUUCCAUUGACUGAGACUGUGAUCUUAAAUAUUAUUGCUAUUGGAGAACACCAAGAACCCUGGAGAAUAACUGAAUGCCGUUGUGAGAAAGGAAAUAUAUAUUAAGACCCUGGAAUGUUCCAUUGGGCCUAAAAGUAAGCUAAAAAAGAUGCAUAGUACAUGUUCAAAACACACAGGUGCCAAAAAAGAAGGGGCUCCCAUUGGCCAAAGAUGAGAUAUAUGAAUAUUAAAAAGAAUAAUGAAUGCAACUGGUUGAAACAUACUUGCUGUAUAGAAAGCCAAGAGUUCAAAAUGAUACUUAAGAAAAAGCUCAUUGAACACCACUGGAAGGAACAAAAGUAAAAGCAACUUGUCUCAAAAGCCAGGAACUAAAAGUAAAGAAUUAGACAUUUAUUCCAUCUUUUCAUAUGACCUAUAUUUCAGAGUUAUCACAAAGCCUGAUAAGAGUUAUCUUAUCUAGAUGAUGAGAUAAAGCGUCCAUUAUUAGAGAAGAGCUCCAGCUAAAGCUGUGAAGGCAAUCAUGAAAUGAAGACUCACCAUUUUGCAGCAGUUCAUGAUCACCAAUAGAUGAAGCACUAGGUGAAAGGUUGAUGGGAAGCUUUAUAGCGGGGGAGGAGAGGAGAUCAGACUGCCACCUUCUGAAUUCAUUGAUCGGUCAUGCAUCACUAACCACGGGAUGUCUAGAGAUUGUAUACCUCCUGGUGUGAUAUGAUAUGAAGCUCACAGCACUACUGAUGAAGGAUUCCUGCAAAAAAAAAUAAUUGAACCUAAAUCUAAUAAAACGUGCAGGGUUAACUACCAUUUACGGGAAACACAAAGAAGAUGGAGAAACAAGCAAACACCAUAAGGAAACAAUUACAGAACAUGGAACAUUUUAUAUGCGGUUAACAGUUUCUGCAACAUGUCAAUGACUGGCACACGAAAAACUAAGAAAGAAAACCUCUAGAUUAAAAGAGAAUUCAGACAUAACCAUUAAAGGUAAUGAGUGGACCUUGUUUGGAUUCUGAUUUGAAUCAAUGAAAUGUAAUUGACAUUUUUGAGACACCUGGGAACAUUUUUUAUGGACUGGGUAUUACAGGAAACAAAGGAAUGACUGUUAACUUUAUUACAUGUGAUAAUGGCAUCUUGGUUACAUAAGUAAUGUUUUUAGAAAUGCCUUUUGAAUUAUGUACAGUGAAAUGACUUGAUGUCUGGAAUUUGCUUUAAAAUACUUCAAUGAAGAAGAAGAAAAAAGAAAGUAAAAAAGAAAUAACUGAAGCAAAUGUGG
rnacentral:lncRNA from 1 species